rfam:Culex pipiens quinquefasciatus supercont3.775 genomic scaffold, whole genome shotgun sequence.
GGCUCCGUGGCUUAAUGGUUACGGCUUCUGCCUCACAAGCAGAAGGUUCAGGGAUCAAAUCCCGGUCGGUACCA